CCCCUGAUAGAUGUGCCUACCGGAGAGAAGAAGGAAGAAGAGGCGAAGUCUCCACUAAGGAUUCAGUAGCACUCCCGCUCUCCACCCAAAUAUCCGAGGUCCUAAACUCCCCCAUGGAACCUCCAAUAAAGGAAUUCCUUCAGAGGAGAGUGACGUGUAUCUCUAUUUAAGAUAUUCACAAACUACAUGCCACUGAACGCUACUCGAGCCAAAGUGUUGAUGGAGAUUAAGGAUCGAAUCUCUUAGGCAAGAAAGUUGUGGAUCCAUCCAGAUCACCGAAAUCCCAACAAGUAUUGCAUCUAUCACCGUGAUCAUGGCCACAACAUCGAAGAGUGUCUUUAGCUUUGGGAUGAAAUUGAGGAGCUUACUCAACAUAGUCGCUUAGAUCGGUUCAUCAGGCAUCGACAGGAGCAGUCGGAAGAACGACGAAGGUCACCUCA
rnacentral:lncRNA from 1 species